GUGGAUCAAACUUUUUUUUGAAAAACACUUUCCCGAAACAAAAUGAGCUACCUUAUUUAUUAUAUUUUGU
rnacentral:tRNA from 1 species